AAAGGAAGUUGACGGGGGAGCACCACAACGGGUGGAGCUUGCGGUUUAAUUGGAUUCAACGCCGGAAAUCUUACCGGGACCGACAGCAAUAUCGAAGGCCAGGCUGAAGACUUUGCCGGAUUAGCUGAGAGGUGGUGCAUGGCCGUCGUCAGUUCGUACUGUGAAGCAUCCUGUUAAGUCAGGCAACGAGCGAGACCCACGCCCACAGUUGCCAGCGUACUCUCUGGAGUGACGGGUACACUGUGGGACCGCCGCUGCUAAAGCGGAGGAAGGAAUGGGCAACGGUAGGUCAGUAUGCCCCGAAUAUCCCGGGCUACACGCGAGCUACAAUGGUUGGUACAAUGGGUAUCUACCCGAAAGGGGACGGGAAUCUCCUAAAACCAAUCUUAGUUCGGAUUGAGGGCUGCAACUCGCCCUCAUGAAGCUGGAAUCCGUAGUAAUCGCGUUUCAACAGAACGCGGUGAAUACGUCCCUGCUCCUU
rnacentral:rRNA from 1 species